UUUCAUACUGUCUCCCAGCUGGCUGUCAAGAAAGCUCCUCACAGGGGUUUGGCCAAUAUUUUAUUUUAUCAUUAAAGGAAAGAAUAUUGCUUUUAGCGAUGUAAGUGCUAGCUUGAGCAAAAGUAAUGUUUUAAACAUUUAACUCAUCUUUAAUUAAAAGUUUAAAAAGUUAGCUUCUCUCUGUAAUAAACACUAACUCUAAUCAACUCUACUAAUGAGACUUUUUGCCCAUUAACAUACAUUUCAAAUCCCUCUGCAGAGAUGUACAGCGGCAAAACUCCUUUUGCAAUAACGAGUUUCACCACCCAAGCACCAUCGUGGUGGGCAGUGGCCGAAUCCCAGGCCUUGGAGGAUGGUUUUCCCCUGGGCUGGGAGCUCUCUGAAAGCUGAUAGCGUUGGAGGGAAAUUCAUCUUUCUGCUGCCACAGCAAAGCAGACAACCUCUGCAUCGCCUAGACUACGGGUGGGCACACUGGCCUGUUAUCACUGACUCACCCUGAAGCGAAGCAUUGGCCGAGUGGGGUUGGUUUUCCAGAAUCUGCUCUGUGCUUCCCAGAGGAGGGCUGGGAAUAAGCCCACAGGCACACCACUCUUUGGGGAAGCUUUGGGCCAUGCAGCGCUAUUAUUAUUGCAAGGAGCAGCUUCUAUGGCACUGCUUGGACCUGGGCAUCAUGCAGCAAAAUGCACUUGCAAAUGCAAAAUGUGCUUUCUGGGUCUUCCGCCUUGUCAAUACGCCCUAGGGCUGCUGCUGAUGUGUCUCGCUAUUACCUGCUUCUCAUCUGCUGGCUGUCAGGAAGUAAUUUCACGUGUUUUGGGGAUAAGCAGAUUCUGGUGACAGGCUGACCUACUUACAUGACUUUAAAGUGCCCUAGUAAACUCUUGGCUAUUCAGGAAUAACGCUGGUAUUCAAACAGGAAUGAAGCAGGCCAUGUUCUUACAAUUUCUAAUUUUCAUUUCUCUUUGUAGAGCUUAUCUAGUGCUUCAUGCUGGCGCUGGCCCUGGCCCUAUCCUGCCUGUCGAGGGACCCUUCAAGGCAUGGCCAUCAAGGAUUCAUGGCCGACUCCUCCCCGUCCUCUGCACCCAGCAACCCCCGGUGGUUCCUCGUAUUUCUCCCAGGUGAUACUCCACCGCCUCUAAACUAAACUUUAUUUCCUUAUCCCAAGCCAGCAUAAAAUGUCCCCCAUGCUCCAGCCACCGCAGGGGACUGUGUUCUUUUAUGCUUUGGUUCAUCUCCUUCACUUCUUUUUGCCAGUCCCAUUCCCCUUGUCACAGCUCUGAGGUUACCGAGCCUCCCCCACUUUCCUGCCUCCUCCUGUGGCAGCAAAACAUUUUUACCUGUUGCCAAUCAUUCCCCAGUUACUGCGAUUUGAAGCCCCAUUUCCUUCUACUCAAUAAAUAGCUUUUCUGGUCUGGUUCCUGGGAAGUGCUCUGCUGGCUAAGUGAUCAAUGGCAGCUCCAUCACAGGACCCCAUUAGCCUGCCUGUUCGGGCUGUGAAUCAAUGGCAAGCCGCUACGGCUUCUCCUUGCACAUCUGCUGUCCCUGAGUGUCUGCAGCAGCCAGCCGCGCUCAGGAGAUUCAAUCCAGAUGUUGCUCACAGAUUGCUCAGCGCAACUGUUUGCCACUGUGGCCAUGCAGUGUGACGGUAUUGCUCCUGCCUUCGCUGGGGUGACAGGCUGUCUUUAAAACUAACACAUAACUCCUGAGGUAAAAUAUAUUAUCUCCUAACAGUUACAGUGCCGAAAGGCAUUUCAUGGCUCAUGAAGCUCACUGAGUCGCUUUUAUGAAAAAGCAACAACUGGAGCAGAGUGGCAUUUAUUCACAGUGCUCCCUGUGCAUUGCUGGAGUAGCUCUCAGGCCCCUGAUGGCAGCUGGGGUGAUGCAACCUCUCCAAAGUCUUCAUUAUUCCCCCAGGUCCCCCAACUGCUUCAAGGGAUCAUGAGAUGCCUCUGCCCCAAAGGCUGAGGUUUGCUGGGGCUGGGCGGGAAUGAGGCGACUGAAGCUUAGGAUAGCCAGGGGAAAAAAAAUUAACAAAACCAGAUUUUCAUCACUAUCACUACAGACAAAAGGCGAAAAGCCGUUACUCUUUUUUUUUAAAAGCCCGAGAUUUACUAUGGCACUUAUAGUCCCUCCAACAAAGGAAAAAGCAUUGCAGGGUUAGGGAUAACCAUGUCUGAUUUUCAGAAGAGACAGUCCAACCAUGACAUCUGAAGGUCCCAGCAGGCAUUUCCUAAAGCCCAGCUUCACAGGAUGUGUGCCAGAGGAGUGCCAGGUUCACACUUGCAGUGUGUAUCAGAAAACCCACAGUAUUCUUCAUCUUUGAAAUAAGAGCUUUUGGAAGCAACCACAACAAAUGUGAGAGAAGUCACUACCCAUCUUAGCCUUUUAGUUUGUAAUAAUUAGUUAUGCAGCAUACAUUUCCCACCUAUAAAUCAUACUCUUUUUUCUCUAUGGGAGGCAAUACACCUGUAGUAGACAGCGACCUAUUUUACACUCUUAUUAGGAUAAUCUCACUAGGAUCUGAGAACAUUUCUUCCUUGAGGAGUUAAAUCAAGAUACAGUUCCAGUUCUUCGGGAAAAAGUGAGAUCCAGUGUAUUUUCCUCAAGUGAAAGUAAGUUGCUGAAGUAAUGGAGAUUCACACAGUCUUUCCCAUGUCCGAGGGGUGACACCCUCGAGGAACAGUGCUGGUGGGGUUGGCAGACUGGGCUAACACUAAUGUUACUGUUAUCAGAUUUCAUGAAAUUCUGGGGCAAUCUGUUCUCUCCACCCCUUACGGUCGGUAUUCUUAGGCCUGCAAAGACGAUGGCAGAUCAGAGAAGAGAUGUCAGAACAGAUCCUGUCUCAGGAUAUAUUGUUGAGAUGUGGCUGUGGCAUAAUCUCUGUCCCUUUGGUUACUUGCGUCAUCAGCAACAUUUUGGCCAGGGUCUGUGCCUGCAACUGACCCUACCCCGAGCAGAGGUGCCCGCUGCCCCGGGAAGCCUGGCAGCCAGCUGCUGGGGAGAGACACUGGGGUGCCCGUUUCCUCGCUGCUUAUCGCAUGCCUGGGUGAUGCCUCACCCCUUCUGCGGUGCAGACACUGCGGACUCUCCCCCCAUACCCUCUGAAACGACGUGCUUAAUUUUGUCAGAUACAAGCUCUGCAGCUCACGCUGUGCUGUGGUGCAGCUGAUCCACAGCCUCUCCCUACCACUGACGCAAGGCAAGGGAGGGUGUGGAGCUUGCUGAGCCAGUUUUCAGCAGGACUUUUAAUUGGAAAGUAAUGAAAGUGAUGAAAACUCCCUCAUUGCUGCCAGCCGUGCCGUGGCGCUUGGCUCUGGGCUCCCUGUCGCUGGGUGGACACUGAUGGGCAGCUUGUGCUGUGCCUCCCAUCCUGCACCCGCUAUGCUGCACAGCCUUCGUGCCGUGCUGGUCACAGGAAUGGCAGGAGCCGCAUUCUCCUUGGUCUGCCCAUAAAAUUAUGGCUGGGCAAGGUCCUGACGAAACGCUGCCUGAGGCAGAAGGACCAGGAGAGAUCAGCGGAGGCAGCCCAAGUCCCUGCAGGGGACAAAGCCUUGACGGGGAGGACAUGGUAAUGGCAAAGGUGUAUUGGUACUGCUAAAGAGCUGUGAGAAGUCUAAAGGUCUUAUUAAAGGCCUACACCUAAAUAUUUGACUAGGUUUUGUUUCUCCCUCUGUGACCUCUGUUUCUCCCUUUUAUGACCAGUUAGUGAGCUGGGAUCAUACCACAUCAGCAUCAUGUUAAAGGCAGAAAUCAGGCGGGGUGUGCUGGGUCAGGGAAUGGGGGAGAGGCAGGAAAGGGCUGGGGAUUGUAUGCACAAACGUAUAGAAGGUGUCUGUAGAGAAAAAGUGGGGCAGGGGCAAGGAGAGCUUGGAUCUGCAACAGAGCCUAUGCAUCGGUGAGACUGAGGAGAAAAGUGGCUGGGUAGGCAGAGAUGGGGAGGGAGGGGAAACACUGGGUAAGGCCAGAGGGGAAGAUGUCAGAAAGAGCAGAGAGGAGACAUCAGGCUCAAACAGUGCCUCAUCAUUGUGUGGGAUGAUUCCUGGGGCAUGGACACCCUGGACAGUCCUGCAUGAGUAGGGGUGUCCCCUCACCACAGAGUGGUGUGGGACAGAGAUGCUGCCCAGAACCUGGAGAUGCAUGAGCCUCGCUGGGCUAAAGAGCCUCCCAGGCUGCAUCCCAAAGGAAGGAAAGAGGUUUUGGGGCAGGGGGGUCACAGAAAGUUCCCCCAUAACAUGCAUUUGACUUGCAAAUGAAUUGGGAAGACCUUCUCAGCAAGCAGGAGAUGCUGGUGAGCAGGUGGUGCAGCAGGUCUGAGUGAAGUCUGAGAGGUGGUCCAGAGCCCAGAGAUGUGCUUUGCGGAAGGAGGAAAGGAGGUAGCUAAAUGGGGAGAAAAACCACCCAGCACCCGAGGGAGGAGAGAAGAAACUUGCAACGGGAGGAAGCUGCUCUUAUCCAGUAACAUGCACUGCAGGAGACACAAUCUACUGUGUAACAUACUCAUUCCCAGGGAUAAUGUAGGAUAGAAACUCACUAAUUUGUACUCAAAUUAGGAGAGUUACAAAGUUGUGAGCUGUAAACAAGCCACUAAAAACUGAGGAAAAUUAAUCACGAAAUGUAUUUUAUCUUAGCAUUUGGCAAGCCCUUGUUUGCUUGUAAUUAUGUUGGGUCAUGUGUCCUUAUGAUUUGGAGGUUUAAAGAUGGUGAAGAAAGGUGAGCAAUUGCCAUUGCAGGUAGUUAAAUUUAUGAAAAGAAAUGGGGAAAGAGCACUAUUUUCGAUGUUCACAGCACAAAGUCUGAGAAACAGUGGGAUUCAGAGCUGUUCUACCAUCUUAUUUUUGAGUGAUACAGAAAAUUCAAUGAGAACGCCAUUUUAGUCCAGUAUUACUUGAAUAUAGAUCAAUCUCAGAAUGCAAAAUACGCAGAGGCAGGAAACAUAUAUGCAGUCUUUAAAAUUUGCACUUCCUUUGUUCUUUGCCUGGACAUAAACACUGGCAAAAGAAAAAAAAUUAAACAAACCUACACACAUUGAUUAUUCACAGAAAUGUCAUGCCACCUGAGGUCUUGGCACUGUACAUGAUGUUGCAAAAAUGAAAGUGCCCUUAUGUGGCAGAAAUUGCAUCCAGUGGGUGUGCGUUUGUUGGGUUUUGUGUCACACAGGUUGAAAGGAAGAGUCGGAGGGAGCAGAAGGAACGUGACUGAGGUCCGUCGUGCCAGCUGAGGAGGAGACAGGCAUGGUGCCAGGGCUCAGCUAAGUGUAAAAGAGAAAUGGAUGAAGGGAAGGGGAGCUACUAAUGGGGCCAUGCAGAACAUGCUGAAAGGUUUCAAGUCUGCCCCAGUCUUUGAAGAAAGGUUGACUUGUAAGCAGAUGUCAGCACGGUGGAGAUCAGGGAAGGGCAUGUUAAGGGAUAUUUAGAUAAAUUGGAAGUAUUUAAGUCAACAGAGGCUGAUGGCACUUCCCCGGGCGCACCGGGAGUACCAGCUGUUACAGUCUCUGAGCUGUAAGCAGGUACCUCCGAGGACUCCUCACAGACAGGUGAUGCCCCUGAGAGAGGGUGAGGGUGAACACAAAACCUGGUUUUAAGCAGGGGACAAAAGAAAGAUGUUGGAGUUUUGACGUUUGGAAAGAAACUGGGACAAACUCGUGAUCCGUUUGUCUGCCCACCCCCAGGGAUAACAAGAUUAUAAAGAUCACUCAAUGUGAAUCUUUGCAAUAAUUGACGUCAAACCAGUCUAAUGUCCUUUCUGACAGAGUAACUGGCUGCCUUAGCGUAAGCAGGAGGAAAAGUAGAUUUGAAUGAGGUUUUUAAUAUUUCAUUACUAAACUAGGGAAAUACGGUUGACAUGAAACUGUGACUUUAGGCAUGGUUGAAAGACUGUGGUUAGGGUAACUGCCAUUAGUUUGCUGUCGAGGGACAUUAAAUGACAUCUCACAGAUUUCAUCCUGGAAACUACUAGUCAAUAUUUUCAAUAAUAAUGCAGAUAACAGAGCUAUAAAACUCAAGCAUGACAGCAUGCUUGAGAGAGAAACAGAGAUUUUGGAGUCUAGGAUCAGAAUUCAAAGCAGCCUCAACACAUUGGAGAAAAGUUCUGAUGUCAAUAAGAUGACUUUCAGUAAAAGAGAAUACAAAGAACUGCAUGGAGUACAGAGAAAUAAUUGUACAAAUGCAGAAUGGGGAAUAACUAGCUAAUUAUCAAUACUACACUUGUCUUUUAGUUCUUUAAUUACAGCAAUGAAAGCACUCUGUCUUUAUAAGUGAAAUCAAAACCGUCAACAAUUAAGGAAUUUGUUUGUACUACAAAAAACACAGAAUUGUAACAAUUCUGCUGUUGGGGCAAUGUUAAGAAAUAUUCAUAUUGACACAGGACAGAGACAGAUUUAAAGUAAAUGGACUGAAUGGUAACAAGUCACCAGACUUUUACCCAGAAGAAAGCAAAGUAAGGAACUGUUGAACCAGCAUUUAAAUUGUCCUUGGUGUCACAGGAGUGGAAGGUGACAACUUUCCACUUUGUUGGAAAAAGAGCUCCAAGUGGACUCUGAGAAGCUACAGACGGCUCCACUGGACAAAUUAGCUAGAAAAACAGAAAAAAACCCACCCACAGUAGACACCAGAUAAAUACAGUAUAUACUGAAGAAGAGUGAGAGGCAGUUUGACAUUUCUUGAGGGAUGCUAUGCACUAUAAAUAUAAGAGACUUCUUUAAAAAGUUAAUGACCUUAUAGAUGAGGGUGACCAAGCUGACACAGUAUACCUCAAUUUCCAAAAGGGCGUUGACAGAUCCUUUCCAGACACUUGUAAAGAAAUCAACCAGUCAGAAAGAAGGAAGUUCCCCAUGUGUGAAUGGUUACAAAAUAAGAAACAGAGGAAUAAUGGAGAGUUUUUACUGUGAAGAAAGGUUUUCAGUAUAGUUCCAUGGAAAUCUAUGAUAGGAUCACUGUUGUUCAAUAGCUUUAUAAAUUAUUUUGGAGAAAAGAAAAGUUACUGACAACAAUAUUUACUGAGGAUAUGUAACCGUUCAAGGUAGUCAAAACCAGAACUAUGGGUGGAAAAUUACAGCAGAAUCUCAUGAUGCCAAGUGACUUCAGAAAAGUUCAGUGUUAGUAAAUUCAGAAAAGUGUGCAUUGUUUUGUACUUUGUAUUUUUAAAUCUUUCCACUGUACUUUCAGAAACAGUGUUAAGAUAGUGGUGGCCUCCAAAUCAACUGUUACUGCUUAGGAAGGAGGUCUCAGUAUCAUUGUAGCUAUUUCUUGGUAAAUAUCAGCUUAAUGCUCCACAGUGCUCAAAAAGACAAACAGAAGGUUAGGUAUUGUUGGGAAUGGAGCAGCAAACCAAGCAGAAAGCAUUUCAAUGCUGUUAGUAACACCGAGGCAUGUCCUCAUCUCACAUAUCCAAUUCCCAUAGUUGGAAAAAACAGAGCAGAGCAGGAGGAGAGAGCGAGCUUGGAGGUGGGGAGGGUUUCCAGGCAGCCUGAGCAGGUCUUUCUGAGUGGGAAAGGAGACAAUGGCCAAGUGAUAUAGUGCAAUGAUAUAAAAUCAGGAGUGGCAUAAUGAAGGUGAACAGGAAUCUGUUGCUCAAGACUUUCCACAACACAUAACAAGGAGAAGAAAUUUGAAAGGAAGUACGCAAACACAGCAUGUCAUCACACUGUGAAAUUCACUCUCACCAAAAGCUGUGAGUGCUAAAAACACAAGUGAGUUUGGAAGGUGACUGGGUGGUUUUUAGAAGAAAUACCAGCAGGAGCAUUUCAGAUGUGAAUCCAACCCCAGAAUCAGAAAAUCAAACAAUUUAUAUGUACUUAGAAGAGAGGAAACUGCCUUGCAGUAUCGUUGGGUUUGUUUGUGAUUUUUUUUUGCUGGGCUGCAGGUAGGAUUGUAAAACCUGUUAUGUCUCCUCACACCAGCUCAUAAAACAUAUUGGAGUAAUGGUGGGCUAGAAGACGAUAUGAAGCUGCUGAUCCUGAGCAAGUUACAUAGUGGCAACGUUGACUGGAGAUUUUAUCAUCAGCGGCGCAGUAAAGUGGCACAGUACAUGGGUGUAUGAACAUGGCUACAGAAGUGCCAGUAGAGACUAUGUUCUGCCAUGAAUCACCUGAAGGUGAUAGGAGGCUAUGUAAAGUGUAGCGCCAAAAUAAUUUCUAGAAAGGGUGAAAGGAGGCUGGUGAUGAUGAUGAAAGUAGAAAAUAUAAUUUUCAAAGCAUCACCAUUUGCAAUGAUAAGCAGAGAGAGGACACUUUAGGCGGAGUUGUGAGAAAAAAACACAAGAUUUCCAAGAAAAGUUGUCAUGCAGGAUUUAAGUUACUUGAAAGAACAACAGGGGUGGAAAGACAAAUGAGAGAAAUAGCAAAGCAAUAAUGAAAAACAAGUUAAUUUAUAACAGGGUAAAGAAGAUGAACACUGUUGGAGAGCAGAAAAGGAUUUCUGGACAGUGGAAGGAGAGGUAAGACAGGGAGCAGCAACAGCUGCUGGAGUAGAGAAGGAAGUUGCAGAGUAAUACAGAGUUAAAAGCAACAGGAGAAAACUUAGCAGAGCUGUAUGACAGGGGCAAGAGAUGUGCUGUGGGGCAAAUAAAUGAGACAGCUGAAGAGGAGGGCACAGGAAGUCAGGGACAAAAAAAGAGAAACAGCAAGUUGGAGAAGAGGAGGAACCUUGAAUGGGGGAAAGAAAAGGCGUGAAGGAAAUGGAGGUGAAAGGAGGAAAGGGAAAGGCAAGUUACCACCAGGGGAGAUGGAGACACUCCAGUCGCAUCGGCCUGAAGCCCACACCGGGCCUCUUGUUGCUCUCCUGAGACCCAGCACUGCUGGUGCAAAUGGUGUCAAGCCACAACACAAACUGCUGAUCCUAAAAAGCAGUGCCUUGGGAGCUGCGGGUGCUCAGUGCUCCACUGGAUCUGGCUCGCUACUGAUAAUGUGCUCCUAUAGGCAAUGCUUUCAACGGGCAUUUUACGGGCUUACCGUGCACUCUGAAGAUCUGAUCCAAAGACAGCUUGCAUUAGUAAGCUUUGUUCAUGCAAAUAAAUGCUUUCAGGAUCAAUCCUGAAGAUAAGAUAGAAGAGCAAAACUCUAGGACAAGACAAUGGCUUAAGGAUUGCUGGGAAGUAAAGGAAGAAAUCCUGUUAGGGAUGAAUUUAUAAGGCCAGAGAAGGCAUUAGGAGGGCAAGAAGAUAGGAGCUGCCCUACAUGUAAGAGGCAGCCUCAGUAAGGGUACCAGGAUAGCCACGUGUGAUUUACAGAGCUCAGACAGCCCACACACAGUGUGGCCAGGGUAUGGAGGAGCUGACAACACAGAAGUACUAUCCAAAUUCAACAAAAGCAAGAGAAGGUAACUUUAAUGUUGCAGAUGUUCAGUAUGAUGCUGAGCCUUUGAAAAAGGACCAGGAAGGAACCAUGGCCAUAAUGAUGCAGGGCGGCUCCCAUCACUUAGGAAAAGUGUCACUAAUUGUAAUAACAUCUGAAAAUGUCAUAAAGAGAAAGAUCUUUGGCCAUGAGAGAGACCCUGUGAUAACAAGCCCAGGGCUUAUUGUAGAGGAUGUCAUUCAACUGCUGUAAAAGAUAGCUCUUACAGGCAGAAACAUGGACAGGGAGCUCUAGAGGAGCGGAAAAUGAGUUGCUAUUUGGAGACCAGAGUGAGGCAAAAUGACUAUAACACGGCCAGGGAAUGGUAGGAACAUGACUAAAAACAUGAAGCGAGACUCUUAGCUAAGGUUAAACAAACAUGAUCCGUAGAUCUUGUACAGUGAAAUCUCUUCGGCCAAGAGUUGUUUUUCUGAAAGGUAGUUAUAAUGCUGUCCAGGGAGAUUUUAGUGUUAAAAAGAUUUUUUUCCCAGCAGUUAGCUCUGGCAGAACAACCUGGGCUCAGCUCCAGGCCAGUUCUUUUCCUAUUGCUCAUCCUCUCUAGCAGAUUCUGCAGGUCUAAUUAGCAACACAGGCUUUGGCCCUUUUGUUGGCAUAACGAUGUUGUGACCUUUAGUGACCCUUUGUAUCCUUCUAGUGAGCCCUGUGCAUCCUGGUGGCUUUCCAAGGGCCUGAGCAGUUGGGAAAGCAGCAGACAGCCCUCUCGCUGGUGCUCCGGAUCUCAGCUCCUUCCUGUAGGAGUUCUGGCACUGGGGAUUUAACAGGAGUAAAAAGCUUUGCAAACCCUGCAGGAUUUGUACACCGCUGACUACAAACUGUGAACAGGUCUGCAAGGACCUAAUUCUGUGAUGCAAAAGGCAUUGACUUUGACUGAAAUGCAAAGGAACUGUGCCUACUUCAAAACUGUCUUAUAUGAUGUAGGGGGCCUAUUAGAAAGCUGGAGAGGGACUUUUUACAAGGGCAUGUAGUCAUAAGACAAGGUAAUUGCUUUAAACUGAAAGAGGGUAGAUUUAGAUUAGAUGUAAGGAAGAAAUUCUUCACUGUGAGGGUGGUGAGGCACUGGAACAGGUUGCCCAGAGAGGCUGUGGCUGCCCCAUCCCUGGCAGUGUUCAAGGCCAGGUUGGAUGGGGCUUUAAGCAACCUGGUCCAGUGAAAGAUGUCCCUGCCCAUGGCAGGGGGGUUGGAACUCGAUGAUCUUUAAGGUCCCUUCCAAUCCAAACCAUUCUAUGAUUCUAUGAUAUUAAGCAGCUUAAUGUAUAGGGUCCUACAUGUGAGAGCAAAGAGGGCUGGCUGUACCUCUAAGACGAGGUGUCCUGCCAUACACAGAAGAGUGGUCAUGUUGGGCAAACAGAAUCUCCCACUGCAGGGCUGCAACGGAGACCAUGACCACAAUCCCAGGAGGUCAGCAGGAGUAACUCCAUAUACAGCACCUACGUGAAGACUGUACAAAUACCACACCCAGUCCUGAUGUCAAUCCUGAAAAAGCAGUGAAGGGACAGAGGAAAACAAGCAAAUGACUGAGUCAAAGCUUGGGCAACAUCCUACACUGAGAAAUAUAAGAAGCUUAAUCUUCUGAAUAUAUCUUAGCAGAGAUGAAAAGGGGGCUUGAUCCACCUGCAAAUACCUGGAUGGUGAAGAGACAAGCUAGCAUAGAACAGGAGCAAAUGGUUGGAAGCCGAAGUCAAAACAUACUUGUGAUCCUAUUCUGAGUUUAUUUGACACUGAAAGUAAUUAUCGUAAAUUAGGAGUUCGGUGUACAAUUCAUACAGAAGGCUUUGUUGUUCGUGCUUAGCAGGAAAUCGAACGGAUGACCAUAAUUGUCCUGGUUUUACCUUACAAAUUAUAAGGCUGUUCAAACCAUUCAUCUCUCAUGGCCUGUCCCAUCACAGGGGAAAGUGAGCACUGAACUGGGCACCAUGCUGCUGAUGGACAACCCUACAGCCACACACCAGCUUUGCUCAUCUCUCCCCAUCAGCCCUCCUCACGAUCAGUACUGCUCUACUGAGGCAGAAAUAGGCCAGAAAUGACCUCCCAGGCUAGCGUGGGCACGCUGGGAGGGCAGUGGACCCAGCUUCUCAGAGCCGCGACACCUCAGUGCUUUCUGAUGGGCUUGUCCUGGCACAUUUACACCAUAUAUACAAAGCACGGGUGAAGUAGUAGUUCCUACAUGAACUGAAUAGAUAUUUCUUUUCCAUUUUCAGGUAUUUUUAACACUCUGCUGCUGUGAUUUGUUAUAUCAUCACUUAAUUGCACUGACACUGUUAAGUCUUUGGUGGAGUGGGAGUUUUCAUUAAAGAUGCUAAACAAGAACAUGGCUGUGUGUAUGCAUUCCUCUCUGCUGGAUGCUUUUCAGCUUAAAUGGUGGAAACCUUGCUUCUCACCCCUUUAUUUUGCUACAGCCAGCAUAUCACCUCUGCUGCCACUGUCACGAAACUUCAAUGAAAACAAAGGUUUCAUGGCUGUCUUGCAUCCGUACUGUCUCUGGUAAUGCAUCCCCUGGGGGUUGAUCAUAAACAAAGCCACCACAUCCAUUUUGCCAGUUAUACGUCCAUGAAGGUGGCAUCACUGCUAAAGCCAUUUCCUGUGUAUAAAACGGCUUAUGGACCCCCAAGUGCCAACCGGGAUACUGCAGUCUCUCUGUAAUGUAGCCCUGACUUGCUACAAGGAGCUACAGGAAAACAAAAAGGCACUGCACUUUCCAUCCCUUCCACCUUUCAGUCAUUUUUCCUGAAAGCUAACAGGAGUGGUUUGAAUUCUUCAGGACUGUGACAUUCCCGCAUUUCCAUCCCCAUACACUUUACAGUAUUGAUGGUGAUAUGGAGUCAUUGCAGAACAGAAAUAGUGACUAUAGGAAAGCUGAAAUGACAUAAGUUCAGUCUGUCACAUGCAGAAGUACAUAACAUUUGAACAGAAAACUAAAUGUGUCAGCUAUAUUGUCCAAAAAAACCCCAAAGGAUUUUUCCUCCAAAUGUACCUUGUUAUGUGCCUGAGUAUAAAAAUCCUCCUACAAAGUUCCAAAUAUUAUGCAAAUAGAAUAUAAGUAAUCAGAAUUCAGUUGUAGCAAAAACCUUCCUCAACUCAAAACCUCCUAAAAUGGCUGUCUACAAGAUAGCGGGAGAAAAAUGUCACAUAGUCUUUUUGUAAGAGAGGGAGAGAGAGAAAGAGAAGAACAGAUAUUAUUUUAAAGAAUUUUAAAUAUCUUAAUUCAAUACACUGAAUGCUCUUUCUGUUUCCUCUGAUAACUGACCAUAGGCUUGAAGUUUGCAGAGACACUUUAAUUUUUUCCUCUCAAAAGCUCUAUAAAACAAAUUGUAUGGGAAAAAUAACACAAAUUCUGAAUGUUUUCA